rnacentral:rRNA from 1 species
CUACGGAGGGUGCAAGCGUUAUCCGGAAUCAUUGGGUUUAAAGGGUCCGUAGGCGGACUAAUAAGUCAGGGGUGAAAUCCCACAGCUUAACUGUGGGACUGCCUUUGAUACUGUUAGUCUUGAGUUAUAUGGAAGUAGAUAGAAUGUGUAGUGUAGCGGUGAAAUGCUUAGAGAUUACACAGAAUACCGAUUGCGAAGGCAGUCUACUACAUAUAUACUGACGCUAAUGGACGAAAGCGUGGGGAGCGAACAGGAUUAGAAACCCUAGUAGUCC